rnacentral:rRNA from 1 species
CCUACGGGUGGCAGCAGUGAGGAAUAUUGGUCAAUGGACGCAAGCCUGAACCAGCCAUGCAGCGUGCAGGAAGACGGCUCUAUGAGUUGUAAACUGCUUUUGUACGAGGGUAAACGCAGAUACGCGUAUCUGUCUGAAAGUAUCGUACGAAUAAGGAUCGGCUAACUCCGUGCCAGCAGCCGCGGUAAUACGGAGGAUUCAAGCGUUAUCCGGAUUUAUUGGGUUUAAAGGGUGCGUAGGCGGUCGGUUAAGUUAGAGGUGAAAGCCCGAGGCUCAACUUCGGAAUUGCAUCUGAUACUGUUCGGCUAGAGCGUAGUUGCGGUAGGCGGAAUGUGUGGUGUAGCGGUGAAAUGCUUAGAGAUCAUGCAGAACACCGAUUGCGAAGGCAGCUUACCAAGCUACUUCUGACGUUGAGGCACGAAAGCGUGGGGAGCAAACAGGAUUAGAUACCCUUGUAGUC